GCUGCUGUUGGGAGACCCUGGUCUGCACUCUAUCUGUAUGCUUACUGAAGGGAGUGCAGGGCAGGGUUUCCCAUACAGAGGGC
rnacentral:pre_miRNA from 1 species